rnacentral:lncRNA from 1 species
ACGAAGUUAAAAAAAAAAAAAAAAAAAAAACAAAAAAAAAAAAAAAAAAAAAAAAAAAAAAAAAAAAAAAAAAAAAAAAACUUAAACAUUUUUGCAGUAAUUGCAUUUUAACAACUUUUGAAAUUUUUGUGUUUUUUUUUACUUUCUCCAUUUAUUUCACCAUUCAAUAUAUAAUCAUAAGUUUUGCAUUUCUCUAUUAUUUUAUGUAUGUUUUAAUUUUUUUUUUUCUUAACCGUAAUUGUGUUAUAUAAAACAACGUUUUUAUAAAUAUAAAAAUUAAAAAAUUAAACACAUUUUAGCAAACAUUUUGGUUGCGACUUGAAGUGAUUUAUUUACAAACGUAUAUUAUUUUUUAACAAACUUCCCAACCUAUCAAAAAAAAAAAAAAAAAAAAAAAAUCUGCAAAAAACGUAUAUCAACAAUGGUUAUAUAAUAUAUGUAUAUAUAUAAAUAUAUAUAUCUUUUUUAACUACAGAAUUAUUUUUUUUUAACCUUACAUUAUGUACUUUAUAAACCCUACUUUUGUCGUUUUGUUCUUUCAAUUUUUUCAAAGGCAUUAUAAUAUCUACAUAAUAAAACUGUUUUUAUUUUUGCCCUUUUUACCGUU